rnacentral:lncRNA from 10 species
CAGCGGCCAGAAUGAGUCUUUUAAAAUUUAAGUCAGAUCAGCUCCAAGCCUUCCAAUGGAAGAAACGGGGAGAGGAGUUUGGAGGCUGUUGCUGUCACGCAGCUCAGUGAUGACUGGAAUUUGACUGAGGUGCUGCUGCAGGAUGACAACUCAGCCCUGUCCCUCGUUGCAUGGUGUUUGGUGGAUGACUUGGCAUGAAGCAUCAUAUCUACAAGAAAAACAAGUCAAAGGCUGAUGCCUCUGAUGGGGAAAUCACCACUCUCUCAGUGGGCAGCCACAGGAAAUGGGUACCUGUCUAUACUGGGGCCACAGGAUUAUGGGGCAAUAUCCCACAUGCCAGAGCAUAACAUAGAGGCUCAUUAAGGACAGAUAUUUGGGAGUGUAUAUUUAUCAAAAAUUCAGAUGGGUGAAUGGCCAUCACAAAUGGGAGAGAGAACUGUUAGCCAACGGGUGACUCAGGGGCUGAGUGUGCACCCCUGUUAUGAAAACUGAUUGUUAAAAAAAAAAAAAAAGUUGUUUGCACUCAUCACAGAUAUCAACAUUUGAAGGCACUGGCUGAUUCCAACUUAUGGCAUAAAUGACUAUUCAAUCGCAAUUGGAAUAGCUUAGACAAAUUAUCUGUGAUUAAAGCAGGCCAAUUUCUCAAAAUAAAAGUCCAACCUGGAGCACAAAUGAGCCUAAGCGCUUGGUCCUUGGAAUAGUGACUUUUCUCUCUUGCAAAGCUUGGUCUCUAACCAAAUAAGUAUUUACCUAUACAUUUAGAGUUCAGAUCAAUAGGAGGAAGAUGAAAUAGCCAAGACUGCUUUUGUUGCACAUGACAAUGACAUAACUCAUCUUGUUUAAGAAUGAAAGGAGGCCGGGUGCGGUGGCUCACGCCUGCAAUCUAAACACUUUGGGAGGCUGAGGCAGGCGGAUCAUGAGGUCAGGAGAUCGAGACCUUCCUGGCUAACAUGGUGAAACCCCAUCUCUACUAAAAAUACAAAAAAUUAGCCCGGCGAGGUGGCAGACGCCUGUAGUCCCAGCUACUCGGGAGGCUGAGGCAGGAGAAUGGCGUGAACCUGAGAGGCGGAGCUUGCAGUGAGCCGAGAUCAUGCCACUGCACUCCAGCCUGGGCAACAGAGCGAGACUCCAACUCAAAAAAAAAAAAAAAAGAAUGAAAGGGAACUUAGCACUUGUAACUGAAGCAUCCAAGUUUACUGCUGACUUCAGGCAUGCUGGAUCCAGGCGGCGAGAAGCGUUAUCAAGAAUGUGUCAUUCUCUAUUUCUUGGCUCUGCUUUCCUCUAUAUUGCCAUUACUUUCAAGUAGGCUGUCUCCAUGUGAAUGGCAAAGCAAUCAUCUGUAGCUUCAGGCCUAGAUGGUCCCCACAACUGGUGGCUCCAAAAGAAACCAAAAGAAACACACACACACACACACACACACACAUACACACACACACACACACACACACACACACCCCUUUUUCCCAAUAGCUCUCACGAAAGUCCCAGGCAAGAAUCUCUCUGGCUAUACUUGGAACACAUACCCAACCCAGAACCCAUUCUCCUUGUUGGCCAUUUUGUGCAUAUCCAGGUGAUCACCAUGACCAGCCAUGCUGCCAUAAGGAUUCUUUUCAAGUCUCUUUAGGCAUCCACAUAAGGGGUACUGUGGAGUAUAGAGAUGACUAUUUCUUUGAAUACUGUGAUAGAUGCAAUAGUAGACUUGCAUUCAAGGUACCAUAGUACAGUAUAAGAAAAAAUAUAUAUGCCUUUGUAAACUGUGCUUACUCGCUCAGGAGCAGGGGGACGCCCCCUUCUUAAGGGAAGAGCCGGCAUCACACGCCCUCCCAGCUCAAGCUUCCCCUGCGACCUGCACGUGUGUGAAUUGGCAGGCCCCACUAAUAUUGGUAUUUCCCUCUCAUUCCUACUAUUACCCCUGCCAAGCUUGGGAUGGCAGAGUUGGAGUCAUAUCCAUUCUAGGAGCCUAAAGAUGUGACUCCUCUGCAUUGAUGAGAGACACGGAAGAGGGAAAAGCAAGGAAAGACUUUAGUGAGCUCUGAAGUCCCACCUGCCACUCCACUAAAUGCCAGAAUCAUCUGGCCUCACUUAGUGGGUGGAGCAAAUUCCUGCCCCCCAGGGCCUCCCUCCUGAACCUGCAAGGUUGGUGGGAGAGGGAGACCCUCCCCAAAAGAGGAAGCCUGUUGUGUUGAGAGUGAUUUCAGAGACCUCAGCCAGGAAAGGUAAAUCAAAAUAACCCUUACACUCCGCCUCCUUCUUCCUUUAGAGGGGAAUGUUUCCUGGCACGGGUGCUGCAGCUUAAUAAAUUGCAUGCAGUAGAUUUCAGGCCUUGAGAAAAUCUUAACACUAGCUAAUAUGACCAGCACUAACAAAAUUUCUUGGAGCUUAUAAUAACAAAAAAAGCUCAUUGACGGAUUCCCACUUUUAUUCCUGCCCCCCUUUUCCACUUAGCCUUAAAUUUUUUUUAAUAAGAAAUUUUUAUUAACAAAAACAACAACAAAAAAAAAACAGAGUGAAGCACUUCACAAGAUCUUGCCCAGUUUAUUUUUUUAAUCUGUAAUAAUGAGCAUAACAGUUCAGCAAUGGAAUACUCACUCCAACAAAAUCUCCAGAUCUUUACAUCCUGAGUCUGCGAGGGCUGGACACAUGCCCUUGCUAAUUAUCAACCUUCUGAAACAGCUCAAGACAUGGGAUUAAAAACUGCUGUGGAAUUUGAACUCACGGACAUUCAUCUGAGUCAGCUACUCUGAACUCGCAUCUACUAUAAGGACCUGAGCAUUUCCUUCUCCCGUUUCCUCAGGACCUGCUCGGGGGUGUUCAGGGGAAGGUUGUCACAAACAUACUUGCAAUAAAAAUAAUCAAACAAAUGGAGAGCAUGUCUAUUUCCGGAAUUAGAUUCUUUUGAUAGUGAAGGAAUCAAAUGGGAUAAGGGGCAGGGAGAAGUCAGGUAAGUCCAAUAUUACUAUGUCCACAUGCUUAAAUUUCACUCCUCGGGGGCUUAUUGUCCCUAACAAUGGCCCUUUUAGCUAUGGAAUACGGGGAAUGACUAACCUUUUUCUAGCCUGUCAGUGAGAACUACCACUAUAUAUUGGUAAGUAUUUCCGUACAAAAUUCACUUGGAAAGGAUAUUGUUUCAAGCCUGGACAAAGCUCAUAUUGUCAUGUUCCAGUUCCAGUUAUUUUAGGCAAGGAAGGGGAAUUUCCACUGCUCCCUACAAUCAGUUUUGAGCACUUAGCUCUGAGUAAUAACUUCCUUGUAAUCUGUCAGAGCC